AUACGAUCCAUGUCCAUCCACGACUUACAUACAUACAUAUGAUGAUAUUAGGCGAAUUUGCGUUCAAAUCAACGUAAUCUUCGUUCUCCUUCCAAACGAAACGAUCAUCGAUUUUUGUGGAUUUACUGUUCGCGCGAUCGAUCACGAUUCGAUCCUUUUGACUUUGUCAUCGCCGAUGGCAAGCGAAUCAACGCGUCAGAAGAAGCACCACCGCUCCUCCGCCGGUGACGAUGCCGAGUCUCGUUCGAAGCGCCGGAAACACCGACAUCAUCACCAUCACCGCCGGCAUAGGAGCGAUAAAGAAAUUGAAGAGGCAACUGUCGUAUCCACGAGAGAAUCGGAGGUUGAAAAAAUUGGUAUAAUUGAUGUUGAAGAUAGGAAUCUGGGAAAUAUUGGGGGCGAGAACGGUGGUUCGUUGGGAGAGGUUCUGUUUUCCGGUGGAUCGGGAUCCCGAGGGAUGGGAGAUAAUGAUAUGGAAGAAGGAGAGAUCGUGGAUAAUUAUCGGGAUUUCCAUUCGGAUGUGGAAUCUGGGGAGAUUGGGACGAAUGGAAACUGUCGCUCUACUAUGGGUGUUGGCAAUGUUGAUGCAGUGGUAGCUCAUAAAAGAAUAAGGAAAUUAGCUGAAGGUGGAAUGGGCCGGCGAAGUGGUGAGAUUGAUCAAGAUGUGAUAUGUAAUUCUAAUACAAAUGGUUAUUGUCUGCAGAUAUCUGACAAUAACGUCCUCCAUGGAGAUGCUGAGAAGACAGGUCAAUCCCCCAGCAUCAUACGAGAGAUUUCUGCGGAGGAUGACAGGAGAGUUGAAACCUGCAAGGAUGGUGUAAUGGAUAAAGAAAGGAAGUACGGUUCUAGCAGAUAUAUGGAUAGAAGAGAAAGGCCUCACGGAAGGGAUAGUGAUGCGUAUGGAAAAGAGAAUAGAGAUAGAGGAGUUAGAGAGAAAGAAAAGAAAAUCGAGGAGAUGGCAAGCAACAGGAAAAAUAACAAACUUCGAGAUGGAGAUAGUGAGAUGAUGAGAGAGAGGUCCAAACACAGAAGCAAGGAAAGAGACAUAGAUGGCCAUUGGGAGAGGGAGAGCAGAAGGGGCAGAGAGAAGGAACGAGAUAAAGAAAGGGAUUUGGUGAAGGAUCGAGACAGAGAGGAGAGAUUCCAGGUUAUGAGAGGUACAGGAGGGGUUGCAGAUGGAAAAAGGGGUACCCCAAAUGGGUAUGAUCUCAUAAGCAGGCAUAAAAAAUAUGCCAAACAUGAAGUUUAUAAAAGAGAUGGGGAUGAUGAAAUUCUGCAUAGAAGAAAUUCUGAAGCACGCCGUAAAGAGAGAUCAAGGAGAAGUGAUUUAGAAGAUUCUUCCCCUAAAAAUAAGCAAGAUGAAAUGGGAAACAAUAAUAUUGGAAGAGAAGGCAGCAUACAAGAGGACCAUGAAGACGAGAUUUCAGAGCAACUUGAAGAAGAAGAUAAGCUUAAGAAACUUAAAGAGGAAAGCAGGAGACGCACACAAGCUAUUCUUGAGAAGUACAAAAAUAAACAGCAGCAAAAUGAAGCACCGGCACCAGAUUUGGGUGUUCCAGUUAAGCAUCAAGUUGGAGAAUCCUUUACACAAAUGGCAUAUGGUGAGGUUAUACAAGAGAAACAUGAAAACCAAUUGGAAGGAGAAGAUGUUUGUGCCCCUGAGUCAUCUGUUUCAGAUGGUAUUGCUGCUAUUCAGAUGCCUACUAGAACUGGUGGACUUGGAGAAGGCACCCCUAAGAGCGAGAGAUCCGAAGAUAUAUUUUCUGAUGAUAUCUUUGGAGAAUCACCUGCUGAAGUUCGUAAACCGGGUAAAGGAGAUGAUCUAGCUAUUGCCAAAAUUGGGCUACAUGACAAUUGGGAUGAUGCAGAAGGUUACUACGGAUAUCGAUUUGGAGAAAUACUUGCAGGCCGGUAUGAAAUAAUUGCUGCCCAAGGUAAAGGUGUUUUUUCUACGGUUGUACGUGCCAAGAAUCUCAGAGCGAAAUCUGGUGACCCAAAUGAAGUGGCAAUUAAGAUCAUACGCAAUAAUAAAACAAUGUACAAGGCAGGUAUGGAAGAAUUGAUUAUAUUAAAGAAGUUAGUUGGGGCGGAUCCUGAGGACAGGCGGCACUGCGUUCGUUUUCUUUCAACCUUCAAGUAUCGAAAUCAUCUUUGUCUAGUUUUUGAAUCUCUUAAUAUGAAUUUACGAGAAGUUCUCAAGAAAUUUGGUCGUAAUAUUGGUCUGAAGCUAACUGCUGUACGGGCAUACGCUAAGCAGCUCUUCGUUGCAUUGAAACAUCUGAAGAACUGUGGCAUUCUUCAUUGCGAUAUAAAGCCUGAUAACAUAUUGGUCAAUGAAGCCAAAAAUGUGUUGAAGCUUUGUGACUUGGGCAGUGCCAUGUUUGCGGGUAAAAAUGAAAUCACACCUUACCUUGUCAGCCGAUUUUAUCGUGCUCCUGAGAUCAUUCUUGGCCUUCCCUAUGACCAUCCCUUGGAUGUUUGGUCAGUUGGAUGUUGCUUGUUUGAGCUUUACACCGGGAAGGUUCUCUUUCCUGGUGCUACUAAUAAUGAUAUGCUUCGUCUUCACAUGGAAUUGAAAGGUCCUUUUCCCAAAAAGAUGCUCCGAAAGGGAGCAUUUACUGAUCAACACUUCGAUCACGAUUUAAAUUUUCUUGCAACAGAGGAUGAUUCUGUCUCAAAGAAGAUAAUACGGAGACUGAUUGUAAAUGUCAAGCCAAAAGAUUUUGGCUCAUUGAUUUCUGCAUCUCCUGGUGAGGAUCUGAAAAUGGUAGCUCAUUUCAAAGAUCUUAUGGAAAAAAUAUUCAUCUUGGAUCCGGACAAGAGGUUGAAUGUAUCACAGGCCUUGAAUCAUCCUUUCAUCACUGACAAGUGAAUCACGGUCAUGUUGAUCCUAUAACUACGGAAACGGCUGAUGCCUUAGAAACUCACACAUUUGGUACCAUCUCAAUAUUGAUUUAUCUAAUGAUUGGGCAUUUGUCUUUGUCUUCUCUCUCGGGGCAAGGAGUAUGGUGUGGCCGAUGAGCUUGGUCGAAGGUCUGGAGAUCUUUGAGGGAGGCAAGUGAUGGAGAAUGCUUACCGUGGACUGUUUACUGUUUCGAUUGAAAUCUAGCCGUGCUGUGAGGAAACCAUUCAGUGGUUUAGAUGAUUAAAGGCACUUUGAAGAAGGUACCUUGGUCUGUUUCUUAGGACUUUAUGUAUGGAACCUUUGAGAAUGCUAAAAGUUUUAAACCUAAGCUACUUGAAUGUUUUCUAGAAUCAUCUGCCAUGACCUCGAUGGUGGUUACCUUUUUUUCAAAGUUUUUAGCAUUUGGUGAUUUACUAUUCUUACACUGCUUAACUUGCUUAUUGUUCUUCUAUAAUUGAUAUAUAUAUAUAUAUAUUUAUCUAAGCUAUAUUAGACCCCAAAUGUCUUGUUUACAAAAAAUCUAAUACUCACUUGUGAUUUAGUAGUUAUCUAUUGCAGUCGUUAUGUGCAUUAUGCUCUGUGAUUUGGGUUCAAGUUCUACAUUUGCAUCUUUCUUUUGAAUUGGUUUUACAAUGCUGUUUUGAUUUUUCAUUAAGUUUUCAAUGUGCCUGAUCCAUGGUUUGGUUGUUCAUGAGGAUAAUUAUGCCGUGGAGACUGGAGAAGUUUGGAUACUGUUAAGAAGUUUGGAAAGAGUUUCAUAAGUGGGUUGUGCAGUCUCACUUCUAUGAUUCUGGUGAGUGAGUACUCCCUAUUUCUCUUAUUGUUUUUUAGUCGAUAUAUCAGAUUGCAAGCUGCUACAUUGAUGCUAAGAUCCCUUUUUUUUUUUUUCGAAAAGAACCAUGGAAUGAAUAAUUGUUAUCCUUGUGCAAUUUUCUAUUAAACUUGCAGUUGGUUUACUAGGCGAUUUCUUUUUGAUUUUUGGUUUAAAUAGUGGGUUGGGUGUGAUUUUUUGUGAGACAGGUAUUUUUAUAGGAGUCGUGAGGCUUGCAUGGUAAAAAACUGAAAAAUAGUAUAAUAAUAAAAGAGAACACUUUUACGGAAACCUUUGGUCACACUUUGGCAUAGUGUCUACUUGGGGUAUCAUCCUAAACCCCUAUAGACCCGUAAAUAAAGGGCAAAAAUAUCGUGCUUGAAAGUUGAUUAAAAUGAUUCAACAAAGUGUAUUGUUGAAUGCAACUUAUAACUGAAAAAGGAGCAUUACAGUUCUUACUUUUAUGGUCGUCUGCCUUUAAAGGUAGUUAACAGUGGUGACAAAUGACAGUUUCGGGUAGAGAUAGAAAAGAUUUCUCAGAAAAAACAUAACAUUAGUAACAAAUUAGACGUGUAUUUAUAGGCGAAUUUUAUAGAUGCUUAGCAACAUAUUGUGGUGGUGUGAUGAAAUCCCUCCUCGUUCACUUAAAAUAGAAAUUUUGAUUUCAUCAUGUAAUCUUUACAAGGAUGCCCACCCUGGAAAUGACUAUUUCUGCGCAUCUAAAAGUUUGAUGUUGUCCCAUGAAUUAAUUCCGGUUCCUCUACUCUAACCUUAACUGUAGAUUUUUUUAUUUUUUUUUCCUGUUAUUAAGAAACAUGCUGUUUUUCAAUCCGUAGUGAUGUUUUGAUUACAAAGUUACACACUAAAAUGGGUUUCUGAUCUGUGUCCCCGUUCUUGAACUUGUUUUCGGUGAUUGUUUUAAUUUCUGUUUGUACGCUUGAGAGGCGAUCAUUUAAUUAGAUGCCAAUGUAUCACGAAUCAAUCCUCUCCCGGAGACAGGUAAAUCUUGUUAUUGAGAUUGGUUUCAAAACAGUAACAAGUUAUGUCUGGUUUUGAAUACUCGUGAUUACAUUAUUUAUCGAUCAAAAAAGCAAAUGGUAGGCAAGGAUAUUACUUAAUGUUAUUUUGCAUGCCUUCCUUUCUAUGAUUAAUAUGAAAUAUUAUUAUUGUGUU